rnacentral:rRNA from 1 species
UAUACGACUCUCGGCAACGGAUAUCUCGGCUCUUGCAUCGCAUGAAGAACGUAGCGAAAGCGAUACUGGUAGUGAAUUGCAGAAUCCCGUGAACCAUCGAGUCUUUGAACGCAAGUUGCGCCCGAGGCCUUUCGGUUGAGGGCACGCCUGCCUGGGCGUCACGC